UUUAUUAAUAAGUGUCAUGAUCAGAAAAGAUUUAUAUUUAAAUACCAUACACAUCCAUAAAAACACAUCACAUUUAUGUUCGGACAACUUGCGUUCUCAUGCAUAAACACAGUUACAUCUUAUCAAAUAUAUAACCAAAUGUAAUACAUGUAUUAGAUCAAUUCGUUUCUCUCUUCCGUUUGAUAUUUAGAGUUUCACAUACCUUUAGAUUUCACAAUGUAAUGCCUUUUUAACCAAUAUUAUUUAAUACAUAAGGAUCCCCUCUAUAUGUGAAUACUCAAAUAUUUCCAUAGCCAAUAAGUAAUCGUUAGUUAUCCUCAUACCCCAACCCAUGUGGGCGCCAUAAUUAUCAACCAUCCUCAUACCCUCAACCCGUAUAAGUGUCAUAACCAGUCGAUCGCCACCAUACUCUAACCCGUAUGGGUGCUGCUGUUAUUCCAUAUGUAUAAUAGGGUUUGCCCUGCAUAACCAAAAUACAAUCAUUAUAUAAUCAAAGCACAAAUGUGACCAUCAGCUGCCCAGACCACAAUCCAUUUGAGCGCCAUAAACACCUACCGUAUGAGUGCCAUAAACCAUACCCUAACUCGUAUGGGCGCCUUUGUUAUUUUGUAUCCACAGUAAGGUUUGUUCUGCAUAACCAAAACACAAUUAUUAUAUAAUCAAAGCAAAAAUAUUCCAAUGUUGUAUCUGUGAUAUUUAUUUUACUAAUCAAAUUCCAAUGUUGUACUUUUACUUUUGUCCUUAAUCUUUUUGUCCUUAAAAUUAAGAAAUCAUCCGUUUAUUUAGCUUCCAAUUUUGUUUCUCCAUUAAUUUUAUAGUUAAUUUAAAAUUUAAACAUUAAGCAAAAUAAAAUAUAAUUUGAAAUAAUAUUUUGACGUAAUUAAAAUUCAAUGAUAAAUACAACAUAAUAUCUGACAAUAGUUUAAAAUUCAAUGAUAAAUACAAAAUAAUAUUUCGCAAUAGUUAAUUUUAUAUUUAUGUAAUACUAACACAUUCUUGACAUUCCAAGUGCAACAAAUAUUCAAGGAAAAUGAAGUGAACUUUAAAACAUCAAGAAAAAUGUAAAGUGAAAGUUAAUUCAAGUAUGAGGUAUCAUGAAAGGAUCAAGUCAUGUAGUAAGAUUAAAAAGCAAACUAGUUAUCUGCCCUUUGGUAUGUAUGUCUCUUAAGGUCUGCCCUUUGGCAUGUUCUUUGUAACCGACAUUGGGGAACCACCAUGACCCACCAUGGAGGAGUCGGCUUUAGCCACACUCACAAUAACAGAUGUAGAAGAGGGUGGCUAGGAUAUCGUUGAUAUUGCACUGAACCCCCAUGAAUCCUAUGAUUUCUAUUUGGUUGGACGGUUUCUAACUAAAAUGGUUGUCAAAUUCAAAUUCAUGUGAAAUAAACUGGCCGGUGUGUGGCGUAAUGGUCCCGAAAAUUUAAAAAGAAUUGCAUAUAAUAAUUUUAGUGCGGAAGCGAAAUAAAGGUUAAAAUUAACAUCCCUUACAUGAUAACUCAAAAAUACUAACAAACAUCACAGAACAAAUUUUCUGAAGAAAAUACGAAAAAUAGAAAAAAUAAAGGAAAUUAAUAAGUAUCUAGGGUCUACUCGUAGCCUUCUUGCGGAUCGGGCUCGGGAACCGGGUCCUCAUGAUAUGAAAUUGUUAAAUAAAUGGUGAGCUACACUACCCCAGUAAGGAUAUCAUAAUAUAUCACCGUCACAGAAGCAAAAGUUGAUAGAAAAAUCAAAAACAACCAAUAGAGUACAAAUUUUAAAUAAAUUCAUUUAUUAAUAAUAAAACCAUUUACCAUUUACUUACCGCAGUGAGAUUUAUAAAA
rnacentral:lncRNA from 1 species